rnacentral:lncRNA from 1 species
CCCCCCCCCCCCCCCCCCCCCCCCCCCCCCCCGGUCCUAUGGAACACUGUCUGUGCAAUGAACCAAAUUUCAUGACCAGUAGUAGUCUUUGUGACUUUCAAAAAUGCCACUCAAUUCAGGGUAUGCCCCAAUAUAGGGGUGGUAACCACUUACAUGCGCUUAGCCAUAUUAUAACAAAUGCAAAAGAGCAUGCCAACAACAACUCAAGCAAGUUAUUGGCAAAAAUAAAUUGUUCAACAUUACACUUUGACAUAUUUGUGGCCUUCAUUAGCUAUUGCCUGAUAUUCCCGCCAAGACUCGUGCCUGCGGCCCAACCCAUCCUCGUAAAGACAUAACAUGUCACUUUAAGCAUUUGCUAAUUUUUAGCUUUGUUGCAUUUCCUGUUCUUUACAAAUUCAUAGCUGAAUUUGAUUUGAAUGUGCUUUGAAAACUAUCCCCUCUGGUGUUGGCCUUUAGAUUGCUGGGUUAAUAAUUUGCUUCUUAGGAAACCAAUGGGAAGACAAAUUACACCUCGUUUAAUUGCCCAAGCACUUGGCACUGAGGUUUUAGUUGUGCCGAACAAUAUUAGAUUCAACUCCAAUUUAAUUAUCUGCCUAAUUUUUUUUUCCAUGCAUUUGUCUCCACCAGUGGGUCUCAAUACAUCAUCAGAUGAAUCUGCCAGAACAGAAAAUGUUCCUGGUUUAGCAGCACUGGCUGGAGGUGGUCCAGAAUCUGUGGACACCACUGGACCUGCCCCUCCCUUGACCCAUGGACAGGUGCUGCCUUCAGCAUUGGACAGUGCAGUUCUGCCUGAGAGUGUCCAUGGGGAGACUGCAACAGCCAGCACAACCAACACACCCACCAUGGCCUCAUCGUCCCAAACUGGUGUUGUCACAAGUGUUACACUAUCUAUGGUUGCACCAGGACCCUCCACCCAUGUGGUUCCUCAGACUGAGGGAGUUGCGACGGAGACCGGUGUGCGUCAGGAUCCGAAAGACUCUGAGCCUCAGAGUGGGGAUUCUGGAAGUCACACGGACUCUCUCCAAGAUCCAAUGGAUAUAGGAACAGCCCUGCCAGAUGUGAAAAGUGAAUUGAAGGCUAUACCAGAAAAAGAUGAUGUGGAACGCACUGAGGACCCAAGUCCAAAUGAACAGCCGAAGGCACCACCAGUCGAAGAUCCAAACGGCAGCAACAGAGACAAGAAUAAUAAACCAUCUCCCAGUAAGGCAUCUGCCCAAGAUUCAAAGCCAUCUCUCGAACAAUGCAAUGUGAAACAAUCCAAGUCACCCUGCGAGGUUAUCAUCAAAAAGGAGGCACAGAAAGACGCAACGGCUGGCACUGUUUCUGCAGCUGAACCCACUGAAGCUACAAUGGGGAAGGAAGAUCUGAGUGCAGAAAGUGUUCUGCAACCAUCGCAGCAGCUUGAGAGGCCAGCAAAGAAAGAAGCAGAAGAAAAGCCAACCGCGGUGUCGACUGAAGCCAAUGACCAUCUUCCAGCUGCAGAAAUCAGUGAGGCUACUCCGGACUCGAGCAUCAAGGGUGAAGAUUGAUGCACUUCAAAUUAUUUUGCUUUUUAGUUGUAACAUUCAUUGUUUUUGUAUGCAUCAAGAUUUUUCUCAGUCAGUGCCAAGAUGUCUCGUGCAAAUUUUCACAUAGAAAGACUUCUACUCGUUAUUGUAGUCCUGCAUUUCUUCGCCCACCCCCUCUUCCCCACUUCCCCACUUCAUAAUUGUUUGAUAUUGCAAUCCAACAAAUGCUGUCAAUUCUCUAUAUUCGUUUUCAAUAUGCAUUAUUUUGUGGAUCAUCAUAUUGCAAUGCCAGCAAUCUUCCAUUUUACAUCAAAGUCGAACUUCAAACUGCAUGAUUUCCAGCAAAGAUAAUUGGUCCUCUUUCACCAGAGGGGAUUAUAGGUUUGCUCUCCGUCUGUCCGUCCGUCCAACCCACCUGUGAUCUUUCUGACUUUUUUUUCCCCAUACGCUUUUACGUUUUAAACUGAAACUUAGGACACGGCUUUAUUAACCUCCGCCAUCGAAGAUGGAUGGAGGUUACUGUUUUCACCCCUUUCUGUUUGUUUGUUACUUACGAAAUCUAAAGAUUUCGUAAGUAUAUUGAUCAGUUCCGUUUCUGUUUGUUUUUUUGUGUGUUUGUUUGUGUUUGUUUGUUUGUGUGUUUGUUUGUUUGUUUGUUUGUAGGCACGAUAGCUCGAGAACGGAAGAAGCUACCAAUGUCAAAUUACACCACGUGAUUCAGGAGGGUGAUGGCUAGCGCUGAUUAGAUUUUGGUCAAAAUCGGUCAAAGGUCAAGGUCACAGUGAGGUCAAACAUAAUUCCGUAAAUUAAUGUGGAGAAUUGGAGUAUUUUUGCUUCGCUCGACGUUACGAGUUUGUUUUAACCUCGAUUUUAAUAUUGUCUUCGGUUUUUGCGAUCGCUUAGGACGCUUAAAACUCGGUUGUCGAAAUUCUGGUAAAAAUCGGAUGUUUUGGAGACGUUUUAAGAUUGUAUAAAAAAUAUUUCACUCGACGCGUCACGGGUCGUCACGUGGUGCAGCGCGCUCGAGCAGACGCGUCGUUGAGUCACGUGAAGGUUUUGCGUGUGAGCGCUGACGGUGUUUUCGAUAAAGAUGGUGUUUAAAAGUCAUUUUUUUUUAUCCCAAUAAAGGUGAUCGUCAUAUGACUGACUCGCUAAGCCGUCGGAUUAUGGAAAGAUUGUUAGUGGAUGGCCGAAUAUUACCGUUUUGUGACUUUGAUAAAAUAAUAUUAAAUAAUUGCGUGGAGAAAUGGAGAUUUUUGCUUCGGUCGACGUUAGGAUUUUUGAUGGUUUGGUACAGAAUCAUCGUAGAAACUUCUGGUUUGCGUCGCUACCUUCUCUUGAGACAGCUUUUAUUAGACAAGGUCAGAGGUCAAGUUGACGAUUUCGUAAGUACCAGUCUAUGACUGCUUGUUGCGUUUGUCUGUCUGUUUGUUUAUAUGUCAA